UUUUUUUGCGGGGAGGUUUUUUCCCCCUUCGCCUACAGGUUUCUGCUCGGAUAGGACACAAGACCGCGGUCUGGACGAAGGCACACAAGGGAACAACACAAUCUAGCCAAACAGCUAACACUGCGCUUCACAAAUGCACUGUCACGCUCAGCAUCUUUCAGCCAGCAGCAUGAACACCGAGCUGCUUCACCUGGAAGGACUGCACACUCUUUCUAACAGCACAGAUGUGCUCAACAUCACACCGUGUGAACGCAGUGUGACCUCACGCCUAGGCUGAGCAGAGAUAAGAGGGUUUGACCACAAGACUGGAUGGUGAGAAGGGGCUAAAGAGUGCGCAGGCUUGGCUAAAGGUAGACUUACUCUCCUGGACCAGAGUGAAACAAAGAGGCACGCAGACAAUC